rnacentral:rRNA from 1 species
AACGAACGCUGGCGGCAGGCCUAACACAUGCAAGUCGAGCGAAGCCUUCGGGCUUAGCGGCGGACGGGUGAGUAACGCGUGGGAACGUGCCCUUUGGUACGGAAUAGCCCCGGGAAACUGGGAGUAAUACCGUAUGUGGUCGAGAGACGAAAGAUUUAUCGCCAAAGGAUCGGCCCGCGUUGGAUUAGGUAGUUGGUGGGGUAAUGGCCUACCAAGCCGACGAUCCAUAGCUGGAUUGAGAGGAUGAUCAGCCACACUGGGACGGAGACACGGCCCAGACUCCUACGGGAGGCAGCAGUGGGGAAUCUUAGACAAUGGGGGAAACCCUGAUCUAGCCAUGCCGCGUGAUCGAUGAAGGCCUUAGGGUUGUAAAGAUCUUUCAGUGGGGAAGAUAAUGACUGUACCCACAGAAGAAGCCCCGGCUAACUCCGUGCCAGCCGCCGCGGUAACAC